GCCCUGGUAGCUCAGUAGGAUAGAGCAUCGGUUUCCUAAACCGUUGGUCGGGGGUUCGAAUCCCUUCCGGGGCGCCA
rnacentral:tRNA from 1 species